rnacentral:rRNA from 1 species
AUUGAACGCUGGCGGCAGGCCUAACACAUGCAAGUCGAACGAGUGGCGGACGGGUGAGUAAUGCUUGGGAAUCUGGCUUAUGGAGGGGGAUAACUACGGGAAACUGUAGCUAAUACCGCGUACCAUAGGAUGAGCCCAGGUGGGAUUAGCUAGUUGGUGGGGUAAAGGCUCACCAAGCCGACGAUCCCUAGCUGGUCUGAGAGGAUGACAAGCCACACUGGGAAUGAGACACGGCCCAGACUCCUACGGGAGGCAGCAGUGGGGAAUAUUGCGCAAUGGGGGCAACCCUGACGCAGCCAUGCCGCGUGAAUGAAGAAGGCCUUCGGGUUGUAAAGUUCUUUCAGCGGGGAGGCGUUACCCGCAGAAGAAGCACCGGCUAACUCCGUGCCAGCAGCCGCGGUAAUAC